rnacentral:misc_RNA from 1 species
GAUGAAGAACGCAGCGAAAUGCGAUAAGUAGUGUGAAUUGCAGAAUUCAGUGAAUCAUCGAAUCUUUGAACGCACAUUGCGCCCCUUGGUAUCCCGAGGGGCAUGCCUGUUCGAGCGUCAUUUCACCACUCAAGCCUGGCUUGGUGUUGGGCGACGUCCUCUUUGGGGACGCGCCUCGAAACGCUCGGCGGCAUGGCACCGGCUUUAAGCGUAGCAGAAUCUUUCGCUUUGGAAGUCGGGGCCCCGUCUGCCGGAAGACCUGCUCGCAAGGUUGACCUCGGAUCAGGCAGGGAUACCCGCUGAACUUAAGCAUAUCAAUAAGCGGAGGA